GGUGGUGUAGCUCAGUGGUGGAGCACUUGUCUAGCAUGCAGGAGGCCCUGGGUUCAAUCCUCAGCUGCACCC
rfam:Ictidomys tridecemlineatus contig073275, whole genome shotgun sequence.